UGGGUUUGUCCUAAGUCAAACCUCUUUAAAUUUGACCAAGUUUCUAGGAAAAUACAGCAACAUUUCCAACACAAAAUAAAUAUACUAUAAAAAUAUAUUUAAUGGUGGAUUUAAUGAAACUAAUUUGGUGCUUUAGAUGUUAGUACACUUCUCUAUAAACUUAGUCAAACUUGAAGAGGUUUGACUGGACAAAACCAA
rnacentral:pre_miRNA from 1 species